CUUGUAGGAAAACCUCUGAGUUUGAGCACCUCGUUUUGUAGAUUUUGUAGUGUUAUUGAUCUUCAACCAGAUAUGAAGGAGAGGAGAAAACAUGAAGGGGAAAGAGGAAGGUGGAAGUCUCUGGGAUUGAACCCUUACCACUAGGAUUACAUCCUGAAUCCAGGAUGCAACGCUACCACUAGACCAAACUCAAACUAGUCAUGGAACAAAUAAAGUUAUUUUACAGUUCAACCUGAUUACAUUAUUUUACAGUUCAACCUGACCAGACAUCCACAUGAUGGAGAAGCAAGAAUGAACACUCAAAUGAUCAACUAUACCAGGAAGUCCCAGAACCCCUCUCUGGAGAGACCAACCCUCCUCCCAGCAUCACCCCUCUUCCUGGUCCAGUCCAGUGUGUAGACAACCCCUCAGGUGAUCCUGGAGAGAUGGUCUAUGACACAGACACAUUUCCCAUCAGACAUCAGCCUCCUGGUCCAGUCCAGUGUGUAGACAACCCCUCAUCCGCCUCCUGUGAAGUGUAAAGUGUGACGGUUCAUCCUCCUAGAUCUAUCUGCUGCCUUACACACCAUGAACAAUCAGAUCCUCUCACGGUUGGGUGCCUCAGGCUCUGCACACUCUUGGCUUGCAGAUUGUAAAAUAAACAAACAUUUUUGCUAAAAUGACGAUUAUAUUAUUGAUUGAUUGA